rnacentral:rRNA from 1 species
AUUGAACGCUGGCGGCAGGCCUAACACAUGCAAGUCGAGCGGAUGAAGGGAGCUUGCUCCUGGAUUCAGCAGCGGACGGGUGAGUAAUGCCUAGGAAUCUGCCUGGUAGUGGGGGAUAACGUCCGGAAACGGGCGCUAAUACCGCAUACGUCCUGAGGGAGAAAGUGGGGGAUCUUCGGACCUCACGCUAUCAGAUGAGCCUAGGUCGGAUUAGCUAGUUGGUGGGGUAAAGGCCUACCAAGGCGACGAUCCGUAACUGGUCUGAGAGGAUGACCAGUCACACUGGAACUGAGACACGGUCCAGACUCCUACGGGAGGCAGCAGUGGGGAAUAUUGGACAAUGGGCGAAAGCCUGAUCCAGCCAUGCCGCGUGUGUGAAGAAGGUCUUCGGAUUGUAAAGCACUUUAAGUUGGGAGGAAGGGCAGUAAGUUAAUACCUUGCUGUUUUGACGUUACCAACAGAAUAAGCACCGGCUAACUUCGUG